GCAAGUCGAGGGGUAACAGGGGAGCUUGCUCUCGCUGACGACCGGCGCACGGGUGCGUAACGCGUAUACAAUCUACCUCUUACUGAGGGAUAGCCCAGAGAAAUUUGGAUUAACCCCUCAUGGUCUGUAUUUAUGGCAUUAUAGAUAUAGUAAAGGUUACGGUAGGAGAUGAGUAUGCGUUCUAUUAGCUAGAUGGUAAGGUAACGGCUUACCAUGGCUACGAUAGAUAGGGGCCCUGAGAGGGGGAUC
rnacentral:rRNA from 1 species